AUUGAACGCUAGCGGGAUGCUUUACACAUGCAAGUCGAACGGCAGCACAGAGGAACUUGUUCCUUGGGUGGCGAGUGGCGGACGGGUGAGUAAUGUAUCGGAACGUGCCCAGUAGUGGGGGAUAACUACGCGAAAGCGUGGCUAAUACCGCAUAUUCUCUACGGAGGAAAGGGGGGGAUCAUUUGACCUCUCGCUAUUGGAGCGGCCGAUAUUAGAUUAGCUAGUUGGUGGGGUAACGGCCUACCAAGGCAGUGAUCUAUAGCUGGUUUGAGAGGACGACCAGCCACACUGGGACUGAGACACGGCCCGGGACCCUACCCUGGGAGAAUUCCCCAUAGACCGGGAUUUACAGAUACAGUAGGGGAACCCUGAUCGAGCCAUCCCGCGUGUGGGACGAAGGCCUUCGGGUUGUAAACCACUUUUCUCAACGAAGAAAAGUCUUAGGCUAAUACCUUAAGAUGCUGACGGUAGUUGAGGAAUAAGCACCGGCUAACUAUGUGCCAGCAGCCGCGGUAAUACAUAGGGUGCAAGCGUUAAUCGGAAUUACUGGGCGUAAAGGGUGCGCAGGCGGCUUGGAAAGAACGGUGUGAAAUCCCGGGGCUCAACCUCGGAACUGCACUAUUAACUAUCAAGCUAGAGUAUGUCAGAGGGGGGUGGAAUUCCGCGUGUAGCAGUGAAAUGCGUAGAUAUGCGGAGGAACACCAAUGGCGAAGGCAGCCCCCUGGGAUAAUACUGACGCUCAGGCACGAAAGCGUGGGUAGCAAACAGGAUUAGAUACCCUGGUAGUCCACGCCCUAAACGAUGUCAACUAGCUGUUGGGCCGGUUACGGCUUAGUAGCGCAGCUAACGCGUGAAGUUGACCGCCUGGGGACUACGGUCGCAAGACUAAAACUCAAAGGAAUUGACGGGGACCCGCACAAGCGGUGGAUGAUGUGGAUUAAUUCGAUGCAACGCGAAAAACCUUACCUACCCUUGACAUGCCUGGAAGCUUUAAGAGAUUAAAGUGUGCUCGCAAGAGAACCGGUGCACAGGUGCUGCAUGGCUGUCGUCAGCUCGUGUCGUGAGAUGUUGGGUUAAGUCCCGCAACGAGCGCAACCCUUGUCAUUAGUUGCUACGUAAGAGCACUCUAG
rnacentral:rRNA from 1 species